ACAGCAUAUUAAAAAGCAGAGACAUUACUUUGCCAAAAAAGGACUUCCUGAAUGGAUGAAAACAUGUUCCAGUAACAAGAAACAGUAAACAGACAUAUUGAAUUGGAAUAAGACAGCAAAUGAGUCUAGUUUAUAGACAACAUUUGAACAUGAAUUGGGAGCUGAGAUAUGGCCAUGAUAUCCUAUAUGGAUAAAAAAAAUAGAGAAGAAUAAUGAAGUUAUGCAAAAGAAACAUCACUGACAGAGAAAAAUGCUUAAUAGUUUACUUUUCCGAGCUUUAGUCAGUGUCUGAGGUUCAUCUGCAAUCCUGUGUGGUUUUCAUAACACUGUUUCUUUCCAUUUUUUUCACAAUAUUUUUCUUUUUUUUGCUUAAGCUUGAGUCGUUUCUGUUGCUCACAACAAAGAUAUCUCACUAAAUAAUAAUAUAAUCCAUUAGUAAAGACAAUCAAUAUGAGGACACAUGUAAAUUGUAUAGAAUGCACUUAAUAUAUUUAAUUAAAUAUGAUAUUAAAAUGUUAUGGUCUUUAUAACUUUCAGUUUCAGAGGGUAACCUUUAUUUGACUUUGUCUUCAAACUCUGUGAAUCCUUUACUAGAACCCCUAAGGCACUUUCUACAAUGAUAUUUGAAAUUCACUUCAGUUCUAAGACUACAUGAAAUCGUUUGCUUUAUUUCAUAGGGCAAAAUAUUGAGGCAUUAUCUUCUAAGA